rnacentral:rRNA from 1 species
CCAAGAAGUCCAACAUGUGCGCGAGUCAUUGGGUCCUACGAAACCUAAAGGCGUAAUGAAGGUGAAGGCAGGUUCGGCCUGCUGAGGUGAGAUCCUCGUCCACUCGGGCGGGGCGCAUCACCGGCCCGUCUGCAAAGGCGGAGCAAGAGCGCACACGUUGGGACCCGAAAGAUGGUGAACUAUGCCUGAGCAGGAUGAAGCCAGAGGAAACUCUGGUGGAAGUCCGUAGCGAUUCUGACGUGCAAAUCGAUCGUCGAACUUGGGUAUAGGGGCGAAAGACUAAUCGAACCAUCUAGUAGCUGGUUCCCUCCGAAGUUUCCCUCAGGAUAGCUGGCGCUCGUCAAACAGUUUUAUCCGGUAAAGCGAAUGAUUAGAGGCCUUGGGGACGAAACGUCCUCAACCUAUUCUCAAACUUUAAAUGGGUAAGGAGUCGGACUCGCUUGAUUGGAGUCCGGACUGGAAUGUGAGUGCCAAGUGGGCCACUUUUGGUAAGCAGAACUGGCGCUGUGGGAUGAGCCAAACGUCCGGAUAAGGUGCCUAACACUGACGCUCAUGAGAUACCAUAAAAGGUGUUGGCUGAUAUAGACAGCAGGACGGUGGCCAUGGAAGUCGGAAUCCGCUAAGGAGUGUGUAACAAAUCACCUGCCGAAUCAACCAGCCCUGAAAAUGGAUGGCGCUAGAGCGUCGGACCUAUACCGGACCGUUGCUGGCAAUAAAGAACCCCUCGGGGGAGUCACGCCGCAACGAGUAGGAGGGUCGCCGAGGUGAGCGUGGAAGCUUGGGGCGCGAGCCUGAGUGGAGCCGCCUCGGGUGCAGAUCUUGGUGGUAGUAGCAAAUAUUCAAACGAGAACUUUGAAGGCUGAAGUGGAGAAGGGUUCCAUGUGAACAGCACUUGAACAUGGGUCAGUCGGUCCUAAGACAUAGGAGAACUCCGUUCCGAAACGGGGGCCAUGAGCUUUCGUGAAAACUUCUGCUCGCCCUUCCUAUAGGUCGAAAGGGAAUCUGGUUAAUAUUCCAGAACCUGGCCACGGAGAUUGACCUCGCAAGGGGUCUCGUGCGGUAACGCAAACGAAGUCGGAGACGUCUGCGAGAGCCCCGGGAAGAGUUUUCUUUUCUUUGUAAGGGUCCCACUCCCUGGAAUCGACUUGCUCGGCGAUAGGGACACGGGGAUUGCCCGUAAAGCACCGCGGCUCUUGCGGUGUCCGGUGCGCUCUCGACGACCCUUGAAAAUCCGACGGAGACGGUGUUAUUUUCGUGCCAGGCCGUACCCAUAUCCGCAUCAGGUCUCCAAGGUUCACAGCCUCUAGCCAAUAGAAAACA